NGCAACCUGAGCUCAGGCGUGACUACCCGCCGAACUUAAGCAUAUCAUUUAGCGGAGGAAAAGAAACUAACAAGGAUUCCCUUAGUAACGGCGAGUGAACGGGGAGAAGCCCAGCGCUGAAUCUUUCGGUGUUACACCGUUAAGAAAUGUAGCGUAUAGGUGUCGAUUUUCAGUUUGUGCUGCAUGUCCAAAGUCCCUUUGAUAGGGGCCACAUUCCUGAGAGGGUGCGAGACCUGUGCGGACAGUGGAGCAAGCUGUACGAUCAUACCUUGGAGUCGGGUUGCUUGAAAGUGCAGCCUAAAGUGGGUGAUAAACUUCAUCUAAGGCUAAAUAUAGACGCGAAUUCGAUAGCAAACAAGU
rnacentral:rRNA from 1 species